rnacentral:rRNA from 1 species
CAGCCAUGCCGCGUGCUGAAGACGGCCUUCUGGGUUGUAAACUGCUUUUCUACGGGAAAAAAAUGCCCUUGCGAGGGAAAUUGCCGGUACCGUAUGAAUAAGCACCGGCUAACUCCGUGCCAGCAGCCGCGGUAAUACGGAGGGUGCAAGCGUUGUCCGGAUUUAUUGGGUUUAAAGGGUGCGUAGGCGGAUCUUUAAUUCAUUGGUGAAAGCCUGCAGCUUACCUGUAGAACUGCCAUUGAUACUGGAGGUCUUGAGUACACUAUAGGUAGGCGGAAUUUAUGGUGUAGCGGUGAAAUGCAUAGAUACCAUAAAGAACACCUAUAGCGUAGGCAGCUUACUGGAGUGUAACUGACGCUGAGGCACGAAAGCAUGGGGAGCGAACAGGAUUAGAUACCCUGGUAGUCCAUGCCGUAAACGAUGAUUACUCGAUGUUGGCGAUAUACUGUCAGCGUCCAAGCGAAAGCGUUAAGUAAUCCACCUGGGGAGUACGCUCGCAAG